AUUAUGACACUUCGUUAAACUUCCUCACUUCAAAUGCAGAUGGAUUUGGUGAGAAGGGUAGACCAACAGUUGGAGAGGAAGGUGUUGUGAUGAGCAUCAUCUUGUUCUACAUCAUCACUAAUGAACUGGUUGAACUUUUGGUUGCUUUGGUGAAUGGAGGCGACGGCAUGCAGAUUGCCAUGUCCGGAUGUUAUGCGGGACCUAUGUUUAAUACACUUGCUGGUUUGGGUACGUUGUUGCUAGAUUGAUCUGGGCUCUUGUUAUGCUGCUGAGAGGUGACAUGCAGCCUAACAAGAUACUUGGAGUUGGCCUCAUCGCUCUUUACUCAAAUUUUCUUUUUAUUAGAGUAAGCAAUGUUGGUGGAAUAUUGCUACUACCUAGAGUUAGAUAAUUAUUUGCUUGUAAAGUUUGAUUUACAUCAAAGUACUUGCCCAUGGCUUCCAUUUUUAUAAAUGAAAUGAAGUUAUAUAGUGUUGCUCUGUUC